UUCCUUCGAAUUAUUGCAUUUGGGUUUGGAACGACACGAGAAAAAAUGGGAAGAAGUGAAGAAAAUGGGUAAUGAAAUGAAAGGUUUUGGCAUGCAACUUGACACAAAAAGAGAAUGAGCAGCACCAUGAGUUCCGAUGA
ensembl:ncRNA C10B5.4 ncRNA